GUCUGUUCUAACAGUAAUUCCAAAAGGGAGGAGGGCAUAAAGAGUCCUGUCCAGCUCCCCAUUCCCAUCACAGCCUAAACUAGUGUUUUCAGGUUAACUUUGGAAUGCCCUUGGCCAAGAGGAGGGCAGGUACUCAGAUGGUUCGGGGGACUUAGAAUUUUAUUUUUGGUUUUUAUUUUUGGUACAAAAGUAAUAUGAACUUGCUAUGGGAUAUACACCUCUUUAACAACACAACUCAAAGAGACACUUCAGAAGGCACAGAAGCAAGAAGGCUGGGCUUUUAGGAUGAUACAAAGAAGUGUUAAGAAGUUAAUUAGCACCUGCAUUCUAAAGAGCAGUCAGUUACAAUUUAGGACAGAUGGGGGUCAAGCACUGAAAAACAUUCAGAAGAGCCUGGGAAAUUGUGAAAGAUAACAGCUUAAACUUUAUUUUUAUAUCCCUCUUUUAGCUAUGAAGAAGAGCCCCCGCAGUUGUGUUGACACAUCUCUGUUCUACUCACAUGGCUUGACUUUCGAGCAGGAGACACUUUGUGCCUACUUCUCAACAGUUCCAAAAAUUUUGAGAAAUGUCUGCAGGUGCCACAAAAAAGAAUGAGAUCUUGUCCUUUGUAGAAACAUGGAUGGAACUGGAGGCCAUUAUCCUUGGCAAACAAAUGUAAGAACAGUAAACCAAAUACCGCAUAUUCUCACUUAUAAGUGGGAGCUAGAUAAUGAGAGCACAUGAACACAUAGAUGGGACCAACACACACUGGGGCCUAUUGGAGGGUGAAGGGUGGGAAGAAGGAGAGGCUUGGGAAUAAGAAGUCAUGGAUACUAGGCUUAAUACCUGGGUGAUGAAAUAAUCUGUACAACCAACCCCCAUGCCACACAUUUACCUAUGUAACAAACCUGCACAUCUUGCACAUGUACCCCUGAACUUAAAAUAAAAUAAGCUGGAAAAAAG
rnacentral:lncRNA from 10 species